rnacentral:rRNA from 1 species
GACGAACGCUGGCGGCGUGCCUAAUACAUGCAAGUCGAACGCUUCUUUCCUCCCGUGUGCUUGCACUCAAUUGGAAAGAGGAGUGGCGGACGGGUGAGUAACACGUGGGUAACCUACCCAUCAGAGGGGGAUAACACUUGGAAACAGGUGCUAAUACCGCAUAACAGUUUAUGCCGCAUGGCAUAAGAGUGAAAGGCGCUUUCGGGUGUCGCUGAUGGAUGGAUCCGCGGUGCAUUAGCUAGUUGGUGAGGUAACGGCUCACCAAGGCCACGAUGCAUAGCCGACCUGAGAGGGUGAUCGGCCACACUGGGACUGAGACACGGCCCAGACUCCUACGGGAGGCAGCAGUAGGGAAUCUUCGGCAAUGGACGAAAGUCUGACCGAGCAACGCCGCGUGAGUGAAGAAGGUUUUCGGAUCGUAAAACUCUGUUGUUAGAGAAGAACAAGGACGUUAGUAACCGAACGUCCCCUGACGGUAUCUAACCAGAAAGACACGGCUAACUACGUG